rnacentral:lncRNA from 10 species
CUUACAUGUCUACUAUGUCCCUGAAACUUUCAUAAAUUCUGGAGGAGUCGAUAUGAAGGAAACAACGGCUCUUGCUUUUAAGAUGUUUAUAAUCCAAACAGGUCAGUCAUCAACCGAAUGUGCUAAAUGAACUGAGACUAAUUAGGAACAUUCCUUGGACUCAUGGUUUCUGUUCCAUACACUUCUUUUCAAAUUAAUACACACUAAUUAACAUUUCUCACACCAUAUCAUGACAGAUAUGUGCUAAGACAGUUUAACCUUCUUGUUUAUUUUUGUUUAUUUAUAUUAUAUAUCGUUUUGUUGUAAACCAGGAGAAAUGAGAAAGAGUGUGAGCUCCUUUUUCACUUCAGAAAGGACUUAGUAUAGGUUUUUUAAAUCUCAAUUUCUUCCCUACCUCACCGUCUUCAAAAUGUCCUUCUCUUUUUCCUCAUCUAAUGAAAAGGUAGCAUAUCUGAAUUACUUACUAGGCUUUUGCAAGCUCAGUUGAAAUUAUAAAAGAGAUGAUGUUGCUUUGGGGAAAAAGAUGAAUCUGUUCGAAAAGAAGGUGAGACAUAUGCAGGAACACAGGUAUUUGUAACUUACUCAGGAUUACAAAGAAGAAAUUAAGAAGGACAUCCAAAGUUGCUCUUGGCAUCACAGUUAGACUGAGUGCUCAGACGGUUCAUCCAAGGCAGUAAGAAAUAAAGUUUUUUAUUACUAUAUUGAUGGCAGCUACAUUUCUAGCUGCAUGCUUACACUUCAAGAAAAAUGCCUGAAUGAUGCCUCUCAUUUUUGUUCCUUGAAACGAAUCCAAGAAUGUUUCCCUAAUUUACCUAUCUGACUCAAUUUUCCAAGAUAGAGACUGAGUGAAACAGGUAAUAUCGGCCCAUAAUUUUAACAAGGGUCACAGAAGAGUACACUGGCAGCUUUUCAAAACCAGAGAGAAUAAAUGUUAGAUUAGUAAGUGACACUUGUAGACUAUUAGAAUUUAAUGAGUAUACUAUAUUUAGACAGAUAUGACAGAUGUUAAUCUCUGAUAUUAAUAAAAAUGCCUAAAAGUUCAUUUUGGAGAAAGAUCUGAGUAUGAACCCAGACUAUGACAUAUCCUGGUUAUGUAAACUCUGGCAAGUUUCUUAAGUAUCUAGACUUGAGUCUCUAAGUCUGCAGAAUGGGCCCAAUGGUAUCCACCUCCCAGGGUUAUUUAAAUAAGAAUGCAUACAAAGUGUUCAAUAAAGUUCUGGGCACAUAAAGAUUGUAUUAUUCCAAGGCCUCGAUAUUCCCACACAGCUGCUAUGCAUUGCUUGAAUAGCCAGUGCUGCUGAGGAAUGCAGAAAUGUUGAUCAAUUUUCUAGCAAUACAAGUCUGUCAACAUAAAUUUCCAAAUACCAAAAAGAGCACAUAUUAACUUAAAUACUGAGAUUUAUAAAUCUAUAAAUAACUUUUUUUUUUUAUAGGGUCUCACUCUUUUGCCCAGGCUGGAGUGCAUGGGCGCAAUCUUGGCUCACUGCAGCAUCGACCUCCCAGACUGAAUCGCUCCUCCCACCUCAGCCUCAGGAGUAGCUGGGACUACAGGCGCAUGUCACCAUGCCAGGCUAAGUUUUGUGUUUUUGGUAGAGACAGGGUUUCACCAUGUUGCUCAGGCUAGUCUCAAACUCCUGGGCUCAAGCAAUCUGCCCGCCGCAGCUUCCCGAAGUGCUGGGAUUCCAUGUGUGAGCCAUCGCUCUCAGCCUGAUAAUUUUCUUAAAAUUGCCAGUGCUACUGUAAGAGACAUAGUUAAGUUUAUAUUAAAAGGAAAACCAAGGUAUUGCUUAGUUGUCAUAAAGUUGUGUGAAGAUUAAGUGAAAUAUGUUAGUGGUUUUCUCACAGAGUAUACACACAGAGAGUUACACUUUACACAGAAAUCUAUAUAUCCCACAAGUAAACUGAUUUUAAGGGAAUCAUUUUCUAGUUUCCCAAUUUCCAUAUGUAUGAUGUCUUAAAUUUUGUAUGCCUGAGAAACAAUGCAAUCAAGGCAUCCCGCUGGUUCUUCUGUCUCAACUCCUCUGUUUCAACAGUCUUUCCCUUACUUUCGAAAAAAAGCAUAUUUUUCAUUGAUCUCAAAUAUUACAAUAACAUAUACAUAGAAUAUAAAAAUUUGGGGAUACCAAACAAAAUAAUUCAAAAUAUUGGUGUUGGUUUUGAGAAAAUGAUUGAUUCUAAUGAUUGAGUGACAAAAAUUCUUGCAAAUCAGGUAAAACCCAGGUUUCUGAUUUCAAUAAAAUAGAAAGAGCAAGUCAUCAAGUUGCUUAAUCACUUUUGGUGAAGAUCGCUAACUAAUUUUAGGCUUACAAUGGAGAAGGUGUCCAAAUAUUUAGGUAAAAUGACUAUAAUAAACUCCUUCCAGUUUAUUUAUUUAGAUAAACAAGGAUUUCCAAUGUCUACACCUAAAAAAAAGAAUAAAACUGAUGAUAAACUCUAUUUAAGAAUAAUAUGUCUCGAUAGAUACAUGAUCAAAUUAUUUAAAAAGCCAUAUGUUUCUCAUUAAUAAAUGAAUCUUCAAUAAAAUUCACUUUUAUUUUGAAUAAUUGUCAAUAUUUAUGAUAUAUUCAUGCUGUUUUGAUAAAGUAUAAAUUAUAAAUUCUAACAAUACAGGAAAUCAUUUAUCAUUUAAAGACUGAAUCUAGGAAUUUUUAAAAUGUAAAAGUCCAUUUAUAGACAUAUAUUUUGUUAAAGAGUACUUCCAAAGAGGAUCCUUAAGAUGUUCAAAUUUUAAAAAAAACAUAAAAAUAGGAUAAAAUUUGAUGGAGAAAUUGUUUUAAAAUAUGAGUUUAAGGAGGAAAAAAGAGGCAAAACUUCCCACUAUUUGUUAGAGCAUGUUUAUGAAUUUUUAAAUGGGUGAUGAUAAAUAUAAAAAAGCACAGUGGUGUUAUUUAUUCCUAGUAGGUUUAUUUAAAAAAUGCUGAAACAAUUUCAUUUAAAGAAUUCAUAUUUGCAAAACAUGGGGGAUUAUGUCUUUUGCUAGCACUUGAACUUACUGCUAAAAUUCUCAGGUCAACUAAAAUGAGUGAGGAGUAUAUGGUUUAUAACGUUUUAAUUGUAGGGUAUUUGUAAGCAUAACAAUUUGAAAACCACAGAAAUAAUGUACUGUAUAUAAAAAUCUUCAGUACACUUUCCAAUCCAACAUUUUUUCACUGAAUUGAAUUGAAACGUUGGACUCUCCAAAAGCAUAGCAAGUAAAGUUAAGCUGGCCUGACCAAAUUCCUUUCUCUUCUCUAUUCUGAUAACAACUCUUAUCAUCACUCCUGUAUAACCCUGGCAGUCUCCACCUUCAAGUAUCAGACACCAUGUAUGUGUCUCAAAGGUUUACUAUGCCCCACACUUAAGGACCUCUUGGAAUUUGAGGUGUUUUCUACCAGCCAUUCACAUGGUACUAAAUUUUUGGGAAUGCACAUCAGGACAUUUGUCUGUCAGAGAAGGUUUCAAGCAGCUUCCAGGAUUGAUGAAUAAUAUCAUGAACAGUCUAUAAAGAUGACUUUGGAAGAGCUCAGUGCAUAGUGUAACAGUGCUAACAGCAGGGACACUGCAUUGAAAUAGCAUAUCUCCAAAUCAUUGAUUAUCUCCUCCCUUCCACUAAUAAAAGGAUAGCAUUGUCUGGGGAUGGCAAGAAAGCAGUAAAUUAAGAGAGAAGAGCAGUAAGCUACCAGCACUGCUGUUUCCCACACUUUAAGGGUUUGAGAACAUAACUAGGUAAAUUUGCAUGUAAGCACUGUCCUAGAAGAGAGCUGUUAUUUCUCAAUAUGCUAGUGUCUAUACAAAGUUAAGAAGAAAAACAUAACAUUUCACAAUCGAGAACGUAAUUUUAUCCUUGCCUAACUCACACCUGUUUCCUUUUCAAAGGACUAGUGAUAUCCAUAAAUUGUCUUCAAUGGCACUCAUAAUAAAUUCUCUUUGCAUAAACAAUGGUUUCCACUCAACAUUUAAUCUUAAAAGAGUGAAUGUUAUUCCCUACUCUGAGACCUCAAAGACUGUGUUCCACUUUUUCUAAGAAUUCUGACUUCAUUUACUAUAAUUUGUUUCAGAUACUUAACUGUGGGCAGAGAUUCUUAUUUAUUUAUCAAAUACUAUACCCCUCUAAUUUUACCAUUGCUUAAAGCGUUUGACAUUAUUUUGGAAAUAAGAUAUUCUAACUAAAAUGCUCGAUGAUACUAAUCUUUCUUCAUCUACUGUUCUCAAAGUGUGGUUCCCAGAUCGGUAGCAAAAGCAUCAUCUGGAACUUGUUAGCAGUGUACAUUCUGAUACAUAAGGCCCUCCAAGCCUUAUGUAUCAGAAACUCUGGAGAAGAGGUCCAGCAAUCUGUGUCACAACAAGCCUUCCAGUUUCUGAUGCAUGCUAAAGUCUGAGAACCACUGAUCUACUGGAAUCUCACCUCACCAAGAGGAUGUUGAUAUGCAAAAAUUGGCUACAGUUUACAAGUUAAAUAAAAAUAUUUUUCUUUACUAACAUAGAUGAAUCCUGAUCCAUAAAAGACUCAUAAAUAUAAAUCUUAAAUCCCAUAAAUUAAGAAUCUGAUUUCUUCUUAUGUAAUCAGACAUUUGCUUCUAGCAGGUUUCAAGAUCUUCAACUACGGAGAGGCAAUGACAUUUUGAUAGUCCUCUAGAUUUAAGGAAUAAAUAUGCUGGCUGUAUAGUCAGAGUAAUGCUAGAGAGUUUGGUCUGAUGCUUAGGGAUUUAGGACGACGAAUGGAUAGAGAUGGUGAGGAAUCUCAUUCCAGUCAUGCUCUCCUUUCCUAAUUUCCCUUUUCACUGUUUGGUCUUCUCCCCCUUUUCCUUAGGGAGUCGAGUGAUUGAUAGCCUAAUCCAAUGACUGUAUUACAGCUGCCUCAACUAGGACUCUUUUCCUUAUCAUUAGCAGUUAGCCUAUGGUUAAAUUCACAGCUCACUGCUUGGUACAGCCCCUGAGAUUUAAGGGUCUGGCCUUUAGAAAAUAUUUAACAUAAAACUGAAAUCUUGACAUACUGAGAACUCAGUUCUCUGCAAGGCUUCCUUAAUUAAUCCAAUGUACUGUACCAUUGUUCUGUAUGAGACUGUGACAUGGUGAACUGUUUCUGAAGCUUACAGAGAUGUGUAGUUCUAAAUUAAACAGCCACUGACGUGUACCUACACUGAUUUUUUAGUACAGUAGAUAUGCAUGAAUCUGUGAAUAUUUAAAUUCAAGCUCAAACAGUGACACAAUACUCUCUAGUUUUACUUUCAUAAUAGAACAUUUUUUGAUUAAUUUCAAGCUUGAAAUCAUUCUUUAUGAAAAAACACACACAGAGGAAAGAAAUUUAAUAAUUCAUUACCACUGCUGCAAAGGUAAGUUUUCUUAAUAUGCUUGUCAGAGUUCUUUGGUUUACAAAGUCUAUCAAAUAUUUUCUUAGGAACUGGAACAGACAUUAAUUUAUUUUCCUAAUUUUUAACCAAAGGAAAAUAUAUAUAAUAUCCAGGUACCCAUGAAUUUGUUGGCUCUUAAAUACUAUUUGGUUCUACCAUUUAUCUGCAGGACAAUAGUUAUCUUAAAAUACCUAAGGAAAGGAUGUAGACCUUGAUCUAUGCUUUAAACCUUUGCCCUUGCUCCAGUCUGUCCAUGAGCUGUAAGCAUCUAUGAAUAUGGCAGCUGAGUCCCAGAUGAAAAAUUAUGCAUCUCAUAAACUGCUAUUCUGCUGAAAUGUCAAGCCAAGGCAAGGCUGUACCUCAGACUCAGCACUUGGCAUUUUCCUUCUGUCUGCUUUGUUGCCAUGAAGCAAACAUGAACAGUGAAGAUUUGUGUAGGGCAGGUAGCAGGCGAGCUCACUGUCAAAAAUCUAUUAUUAGGGCCCUGGUCUCCUGCACAGACCAACGAUGGCUAAACAGUGAGAUACUGAGGCUCUGAGAAAGGCAACAUAAUGAAAGAGGGGAUUCUUUGUCAAUCUGUACAUGAAUAUAUUCAAAUGAGCAUUAUUUAAAUGAGAAUAUUUCUAAUGGUAAGCCUCUCUCAACCAAAGUGAUAAUUUAUAAUAAAAUUGUAAUCUAGCAUCUGUAUUUGAAAUGCCUACUUUUGACUGUUCUGCAAAUAUAGUACAUACAUAUUUGUAUAACAAGUUCUUUAAUAGUUUGAUCAGUUAAACUUGUAAUAAGCUAAGAAUGUUUUUACAUAGGUGAAUAACAGGCCAGAUUUUUUGCAUUACUUUUGUCCAUACAAAAAAAGGAAAAAAGUGAGUAUAAAAUGGAAGGCUCUCCUUUUAAUUAUUCUUUUUGCAUGAAUUACUACAUUUUUAUCCAUUUAAAUUCUAUCUUUAUCUAUCAGGUUAUUUUAGAUCUUCAAUGUUAAAGCCUAAGCUCUUAUCGAUCAAGAUGAUUACAAUAGAUAGCUUAAAUUUGAUGACAGAUAAUAGGCAUGUUUUUCUAAAAGCAAUUUAUGCAUCGAUAAUCAUGUGAUUGACACAUAAAAAAAUCCAGCACAUUAAAAACAACUUCCCAAUUAAAAAAAUACUAACACUGUUUUUUAUGAUGGAAUUGUAAUGUGUGGUGUAAGAACUUAAAGCAAUCCUGCCAAAAUCUUCAGUUGCUGGCAUGCGUGAAAAUAGUUAUUUAAAGAAAAAUGUAACUAAAACUUCUGAGUUUGUAAUCUGUUUUGUUUUGCCAUCUCCCUGAUUUUACACAAAUAUUCACUAAUAAAUACAACAAAAUAAGUGUAUGAUUAGAGUGGGUUACACUGGAUUUGUGUUUACGUAAUGCCCAGUAGCACAGUGUAUGCUGCCAAGUUAUUAUUGCAUUCUAACAAUUCACGCCUAAGUAACUAUCUUAAAAACACAUAAACUAUGCGAUGUGAAGUCGAUGCCUAAAAUCCCUUUCUAAGCUACUAUAUUGAUUCACAUUUGUGCAAGUUUUCUAAAUUAUACACUUUGUACUCACUUCUGGCCCUACACUGACGCAGAUCUACAAAUUACUAGCUAAAUUUCUAACUUGUACCUUCUUUUAUUAGUAUUUCCUAUGUUGGAUUUACAAUGAAAACACCUUUAGGAAGCUAGUAACCAUACAAGCCAGUGUCCAAUAUCUCACACAGCUAGAUUUCAAAUCAUUCAUUAUUCACUUGUAGACUCUAAGAACAUUCAUGGAAUAUUCCAUUAUAACUUAUUUAGAAAUACACAGUCAUUUACUGGAUUCUGUAAUAACCUCUAUGAGAGGAGUAACUUUGAGCUGAAACAGAAAAUCUUAAAAGCCAUCUUUUAUGAAUUAUUCAGAAAUCAAUAAUAAAGUUUAUGUCUUAAUACUGAAAAAAAUGUGUUCUAUUGUUGUAAUUGUAUAAGUUCAUACAUAAUGAAUAACUUCAAACAAGCAUUCAAAAUUUGAAGUUAAGAACAAGAAUUUCCUUUCCUUUGGUGAAAAUAGAACAAAUUUGGCAAAUAAAAUAAUUUAAAAUAAUAAGUUUUUCAAGCUUGUGGGAAGUAAAUUAUAUUGAGCCUAAAGUGUCUAUCAUUAUUUCAAUUUAAGUGCCUUCUGCACUCUUUCCUAUAUAUGUGAAUGUGCAUGUGUUUGUAAGUGCAACACACAAAAUAUAUACAGGACAAUGAAAUUCAUUCCCCAUUAAUAAAAAAAAGUUAAAAACACAAGGAACAACAACGAAAACUUCAAAUGAAUUCACCCCAUUGAAAAAUGCUUGAAUACUGUUUCUCCCGAAGCACCUGUAAAUGAAUAAAGGUUAUCCUCAUGAAGUCAGCUGCAAGAAAGACAUCUUUAGCUUAUGCCAUGCAGGACUGAUUCUUAACCAGCUCUGAAAGAAUCUUACCCACAGGGAGGAUUUCAUGUGAAAAUGUCACACCACAGCUGGAUAACACCAUUUAUAUAGGUGAUAGUAAUCACUGAUUUGGGGGCUAUCUUAAGAUGCCCUCAUUAUUUGGGAAUGAAGUCAGAAAAAAAGGUCAAAAUUUCAAACUAAAACAAGAAAAAAAGAAAUUAAACUGGGAAAAAUAAUGGGUCACGCAGUCAAGGAUGGAGUUUAUAAUUGUUACUGAGAUUAGGGUUUUUUUCCAAUCAAAUAAGUCAAAGAAUUUCUUCUUCCUUUCCUCUCUCCAAACCCAAUAAACUAUUCAGCUGUGUGAUGAUACAUGAAUUAACUGCUGUUUGAUGCAACAGAAGUUUUCUGCAUGGAUUCUAGAAAAAGGAAAGGUCGUAACAACUUAGUGUUACAUCUAUACUGUCCAAAGAAAGGUACAGAAUUAUUUAGAAUCAAUGGUUUAGACAGAGUACUUAUAUGGUGGAGAGCUGAAUCAGCCAUCCUUGUUUGAUAAAAAAUAUUCCUUUUGGAUACCAAACAAGAUUUCCUUUUAUACUGUUCUCACUAUGAAAUCAUCUGGUAUAUAAUUCAACUUUUUAAUGGAGCAAUACUAUGAUGUAUUUCUCCCAUAAUUGAAAUUCAAGUUUAUAAAUCACUUUAUUAUGAGUUUGUUUCAUAUAUUUAAGCACCGCCCCCCAGAGUUUAAUCAUCUGUAGAUGAAUUAGAAAAAGUGCUUCUAAAAUAGCAAAGCUGAGGAUAAGACCUUGGAGUGAGGUCCUAAUUUGCUCUCUUGAUGUAACUUUUAAGCUACAGCAGGUAGAAGUUAUCUUUCUAUAGUCUUAUUGACUUCUUUUAUUUAACAAAAGAGACCUCCCUCUGAAACAGUAACUCUCAAAAUAUUUUGAAGUUAACUAAGUAAAAAGUGCGUUUUACAUUAUGGCAUAUAUAAGUGUAUAUUAUGUGUAUAACUGAAAAAGAAGUUUGGCCAAACAAUGCUUAUCCCAACUAUAUGCAAAGCAUUCUGACAUUUCUUAUUCUAUUUCAUUAUUUAAAAUGUUGAUUACAGUUCACUAAACUUGAUUGCAUAGUAUACUCAUGAGUUGGGAACCAACCUUUGAAAGACAUUGCUCUCAAAUCCAGGCUACUUAUAUCGGAAAUAAUUCCACUGACAUUCCUUAGCUGAGAUCCCGUUUUCCCAAUGCAAGUCACUGUCCCUUAUUAGCUAAUGCAUUUUCUCUAGAAGAACAUUCCUGAAAUGUGCCCAGUUUUCUACAGCAGGUAUACUACUCCAGGUGCCUCACUAUUUCCGUAUUUAAACAAAACAUAAUCUUCAUUUCAAAGAGCAGAAAUCUUAUUCUGAGAAAAAUAAUAACAAUUGAAUAAACAGCUAAAGAAUAUAUUGAAAGGGGAAAAUAUCCUUCACUGGCAAUGAAAAGUAUGUAUUGUGUUCAGGUGGCUAUCCAAAAUUAAACUCUAUUUAGUUUUCACUUUUUAAAAAUCUGUGAUUCAUGCAGCAUCUCUGAAAGCAGACAUUGCCAUGCUCUGAGACAACACUUGAGCAGAUAUUAGCACUGUGCUAUGGUAAAUUUUUUAAAAAUCUUAUAAAAAUAUCUAGCUUAUUUUGUGUAACUUUCAGUAUUAAGGCAGCAUUUGAAGUCCUGACAACCAUAUUUGAUACAACUCUCGUAAAAUUUGAAACCAUUAUUAUUUAACACAAUUUUGCUAGGCUAAGUUUUGCUAUAACUCAUACUGAAGGUACUCUGUUAUAGAACUUGCUCUGUCCUAAAAUAUAUUAUCAUUGCCUAUUUAAACUGCUUUUCAGAUUCUAUUACUUUUAAACUUAAGCAAGCAUUACUUUAAAGGAGGAAAACUAUAUUAAUUCUGUCAAUGUGGAGAAAGGCUAUUUUCAAAACAGAUUGUUUAAUGUGAAGAAACUUAAUAUAGAACCUAUUAGAAAUGAGGUACAAGUCCUUUAAAAUGUUAGGGAUUUUUUGUUGUUUAAAAUGAAAGUUCUACCCAGGCUUACCUAAGCUUAUAGCCCAAGUGAAUAUUUAUAUAUGAAUUUAUAAAUCUUAGAAAUAGAGUUUUAUGGAAAUGCUAACAGGCCCUGAGGUAUGACUGAGCUUGUUUUCAGGUACUGCUAUAAUUUCCAGUGUGUGUAUGCUUAAAGACUGCAACACAAAAGACUUUUUCUAAUGCUGUAAUUUUGUAGUUUUAUUAGACUGAGUUAUAGUAUGGGAGAAUAUUCAGACAUUGCAGCUUAAAUGAGAAAACAUGAAUGGUGUUACUUAUAUAAAAUACUACUGCAAUAGUUCUUUUAUUAAUUUUUAAUGUUCAGCACCCUCUGUGACCUCCUUUAUUCUCUUGCUGUCAACAUGGCAGGCUGGAAAAAUUGAAAUGGGCUGACAGAAAACAUAGUGCAUGUUACAGCCCAACUCUGGAGUCUCUUGACUCUCUUUCUGUGGCACAUGCUAACGCGGUCCACGUUAUUCUGCAUUACAAUAAUAUUUAAGGCCCUGUUUGAUAGCUCCUGAUAAAAGCGAGCUGUGUCUGGAGCCUGAGCAGGUGCUCCUCGUCAGCCUUCUUCUUUCUGACAUUGUGGGAAUGGCAUUCAAUUAAAAGCAGAAUAUAACCGUUUUUGUUCUUCAUGGCUCACAGGCAUACUUCAUACUCUCAAAACUGAAUACCUCAGCAUGGAUAGAGCUUUAUUUGUGUCUGUCCAGCCUCUUCCAAAAGCACAUUUUGGUCUGAUUCAGCAAUGCUUUUCUUGAACAGUGGGGCACUGUUAUGUUAUGUAUAUUUACCACUUUCUCUAUCACCAAGGAGACUAAUCCCAAACCAGUACAGUCAAGAACCUUACAGCAUUGUCUUUGCAAGACCAAGUUCAUGUUGUCACAGUCACAGAGUGCACAGGGUAAAGAUACUGAACAGGACCUUGAGAUUAAAACCUCUCUUUCUUUUUCAAAUUCAAGCGUAUGCUGAUGAGAAAGAGCGUGCAAAGGUGUGAGGUCUGCAAAUGUCUUGUCAGCUGAUGCUUAAUUCAGUGUUUUAAUGGCUUGUUUGGGACAGUUGGGACAAGGUUUUUGAAGAAGGUAGAUGUCUAAAUUCUAGGAAGAAUGAAAACUAGUCCAGACCAUGAAAAAGAUAUUAUAAUGAGGGUACUUAUAUUUUUCUCUCAGAGGGCCCUCAUAUUAACCCUUACUAGUAAGUGGCAAAAGAACUGAGAGACGAUGAGAAAUUCUUAGGAAAGCAUGGACCACAAGAGAAUAGAAUUUGUGCAAGACCUUAUCUUGAUAUUCUCUCAUCCUGUGCUGUCACUUGAGCUUUCAUAUUCAAUCCGUUCUGUCAUAACUAUUAGGAAUAUUGAUCAGCUAUGAGUUAUAAGAAUUUGGGAUCAUAAAGGGCACAAAACUCUUGCAACAUGACCUUCUGAUUUUUCAGCAACCUCCAAGAAAGCACAAUGCAAGAAGUGGGCAACACCUACCAGACACUCCUCCAUAUGUAGUUCGCUUUGCAAUCCCCACUGCUGGCCAAGGUGUGCCAUCAGAUUUUAAUCCCAUCAGACCUGAGACAGUGUUGGUGGCUGUAACGCCAUUGGCACCACCUAUGCAAGACACAUCAACAUUUUCAUGCAGCUCUUAUAAGACACGAUAGUUAAAACCCAUUCAAACCCUCACAUCCCAGAAAAAUGCAUUCUAUUUUAUCUUGAGAACAUGUCUUCUCCUCAAAGUUCUUCACUAAUUUAACUCCUACAUUUAUGUUUAAAAUUUUAAACAUUAAAGAAGUUUUAAUUACCACAACUUUACUUUCUCAAAUAUUAUACAGACUUGUUGUUACCAAAUGUUUUGUAUUUGGUGUUAUUUUCCAGGUAAUUUACAAUGUCUUUGCAAGUCAGGGUGCAAUUUCCCUGGGAUGGAACACAAGCACGCAUGAUUUUUGUAUUCAACAGAUAUUUAUUGAGCAUGUGUUUAAGGAAGUCAGCUAGGCCCUACAAAAUAUGAAGAGAACUCAUAAGAAAUUUCACAUUGUGCAAAUUGAAUUUUCUUUUUUUCUUUUUUACUCAUUAAAGUUUAAUAUAUUGAAUUGUUACAUUAUGAGGUCAUUUAUUUUGGACGGGUUUGCUGUGACUGUGUUUUUUGUUCUUAUAAUGUGUGAAAUAAGUGUUUAUUAGGAAAAACUAUAAAGGAUCUUGUGUUUCCAGAUCAAAAUUCAUGGUCAAUUUGCUAGCAUGAGUCCAGGUGUAAAUCUCCUGUGUUUGUGGGAUCAAGUGCUCAACUGGAAACUUUUAAAAUUGAGACAAAAAAUAUGCACAUGUUUGUAGGAAAAGACAUACUUGAGUAUGGCUACAUAAUGUGGGCCAAUAUUUACAAUAGCGGGCAACUGAUUCAAGUCAAGUUCUUACCUUCCUUUGCAGCUCUUGCGAUGCUCACAAUAUCAGUGACAUUUGGGGUCAGCUUGGCAAAAAAAGGAAUCUGAACAGCUUGCCUAACCCAGCGGCAGAUGUUCCGCACCAGCUCUGGAUCCUGUUCAAAUAGGCAAGCCAGCUGCUGACUAAUCAUCACAGCCAAGGGAAUCCCAUGUUGCAUCAAAGAAAUGGAAGCAGGGCUCAGACCCUGCAUGGUAGAGGGGGCUCUGCAAUUUAAAGGGUUAACUUUCUGCAAUGUUGAGGAGUCGCAUAACUUUUCACGAGAACUGAUGAGUAGAUAUGCUAAAGUAACUAAGUUCUGAAAACGUCUAAGAAAAAUACAUGCAGAAGCAGGCAACUGCAACAGACACAGACAUGAACCACUCGGAUCUACCUUCAGGAACAGACUCUGGCCCAGCUGCAGGAGUGUGGUGUCAAGGAAAGGAAACAUGGCGAGGUUACCCCAUUUUGGGGAGUUUAUUACAACUAUACAUGGAAAAAUAAAAAAACAUCUAUGGGGGUCUGAUCCAAGCAGGGCUGUGGUCAUUGCUCCCUGGACACUGCAUUGCAUAUGAGAUAGAGGGUCUGCUAAGCCAGCUGCUGAAGGAAGACUUUAUUUCCCAGGGGAAAUUCUAGCACAUCUGGGGCACUGUGGUCCUCACACUUGGUUUGGAUUCUCUUCCUGAUGACGGACGUCUGCUUUCUGGCAAGGAUGAAGACGCCAAGGCAAUGACACCUGACAGUCAUAUAGCUGAUAAGGAACAGCGCCAGGACCCAGAGCCAGGCAGUGUGACUGAGCAAGAGUCUGUGCUUUUAACGACUAGGUUUUGCUAGCCCAAAGCACAUACUUGAUACACACUAUAAACACCAUGAAAGCUGGAGCUGCUCUGCAUUAGUCAUCAUCUAUCUACAGUAACUAGCAUGGUAUUUGGCACGUAUCAAAGACUGAAAGAAUAAAUGAAUGAGGUCACCAGAGGUUUAGGAGCAAGGGGUUGCAUUAUCAGCUAACCCUUUUAAGAAGAUUAAGUAGAAAUGGAUACCAUAAGUUAGAGAAGUGAAAAAUAAACAAUUGAAAACUGCUGGCGAUUAUAUGAGUAAGAGUGAAGAGUGAUUAGGGCUGAUGAAGGUAUCUGUCUUGGUGAUGAAAAAAUAAUCAGAUAUUAAAAUACACAGGACUAGUCAACUAGAGAAGCAAUUAAAAAGAAGGAAGCAAAAGAUCUGAGACUCUGAAUCAAAGCCACUGAGAAAUUCGCAGACCAUUAGUCACAAAAAGGUUGAACAACGUUCCGAAAUAUGGAAGCCAGAAGAAACAGCAAUUUUGAAUAGAUUCCUUAGAGAGAGGAACAAAGAGAAGAAAGUAAAAGUAGAUGAUGGAUAGAGAAGGAAAAUUAAGCAUGCCAAAUUAUUGUUCAUUGAGUUUAGGAUUCAAUUUUUUUCGUCUAGUGAAACUACAGCUUUUCAGAAUUGGGGAGAAAAAUGUAAGAAUGCUUGUUCCAUGGCCUUUUCCCUAGGGGCUAAAAAAGUGAGAAGUCAUACUCCAAGCUUCAUUUGCAAGUAUAAAAGGGGCACCAUGUAAUUACACAGCUUCAGUUAGAGAUGCUUUCCGCCCUUUCCAAGUGAUCUAAGAGCUCAGGGAUGCUAUGCCCUAUUCUCCAGUUAGAAAAAAGAUCAGGGAGAACUAUCAAAGAGGGCACCAGAUCUUCCAGGACUAGACCUAAUACCUCUUGGUGUAGGCAUUCCUUGCAAAAAAAAAAAAAAAAAAAAAAAAAAAAAAAAAAAAAAGAGAGAGAGAGAUUAAGGACCUUAUUUGAAAGGAAAAAUCAACUGGGGAAUGGGCAGAGCCCUGAGGCUUAUUGCUAGAACUUCAAGGGCAGAGACAGAUACAGAGAUACAGACUGAAGAAGAAGAAAAAAUUAGCUAUUAGAUACUAGUUACCCUGUGGCGAAACUGAUAAGCAAUAUGCAUAGAUUUUUAGAAAAUUUUUUUCUUAAAAAAAAAAAAACAAAAUAAAACAAUAACAACAACAACCACAAAACCCCCACCUCCUAACAUAACAAAAUAAUCCCCCAAUUCACAUUCUCAUGCAACUAUGAAGUGGCUGCUCAAUCAGCACAGUCACAGCAUGUGCACCUCCCUCUCCAGCUCCCCUCUCAGGGUUCCACAGAGGACAAGAAAAACCUUUCUCGUGGGCUGAAUCUAGCCAGGCAGAUGGGUUGACCACAGAAAUCCACAGCAGGGAAGCAAGGUUUAGCAGCCUUGACAGUAGGAUAAGAUAUAUCCUCUCAAGUAGGGACUAACACUGUUUCUCUCUUUUACAUGGCAAUUUUAAUUUUAACAGAGCUAUUUUUGCUUCAAAUUUAUAUUGACUGUGCCAGGUUGGUUAAUUGUUCACCCUGUAGGUUGCUGAGAAGCAUGAGGCACUACAAUUGGACUUGAUGAAGGGAAAUAAAUAUCAUACAGAGAGUUGUUCAGGACAUUGCGAGAAUCAUGCCACUGAAUGCUGGUGGGGCAGCCUCUGACUGGGGAGGGGUGACCACAGAUGGGAGAGAUACAUUAUGGUAAGCAGUGGUUUCCAUUGUAUGCUCUGAGCAGCCAAGCACUACCCUGUUCUCCUUUCCCUAUCCAUUGAAAGCAGACUCUAUCUUCUUGCCCAGAAAGAUGAGAAAGUAUCCCCACCUGCACUGAUCAUAGGAAUUAGGUACUCUGCUUCUAUCAAAAUCCCUCAGUGGAACUGGGAAAGUUAAAACUUUUUUUUUUUUCUCCUUGGUCACUAAACUGGAAUGAAGUUUAUUCAGAGCUGCUGUUGAUCACUGAUUCCUCAUUUAACCACUUUCCAAUCCCAAAGCUUACUACACUGGGAAAAAAUAAAACAGAGACAGGAGAAAGUAGACAAACACACAGGAUGGAGAGAGAUCCCCUUUGCAGCCACUUUUAAGGCUGGGUGCCUCACUAACAUAUCUGCAUAUUUAAACUAAUAAAUACCACACUUUGGCUUAAGGAAAUUCUAUUUUUACAUUCUUGUUUCUAUGAUUUAACAGUCUUGACAAUUACUACAUGCAAAACUAAAGUUGUCAUGUUUUGAAGAAAUUUUCAAAGCAAUUUUUUAAAUCAAUUAAAUUUCAGGAAAAAUGACUUUAUAUUUAUUUUAAAAAUGUGAAAUGGUCUAAGGAUUCUAAAUAUCCUUAUCUAAAGCCAGAGGAUGGUUUGUGAAAAUAUGUGGUAGCAUUCUAUUUCUGAGAAAUAAAGAUGACCAAAAAAUAAUUUUACUUUUUAUUAAAAGAGAAAGCAAUUUUUAAAAGAGUCAGGCUAAAAGACAUUAACAGUAAAAGGACACUGGACAUAAUUUAAUAUUUAUUUGAUAAUUAGGAAGCCCUUCAGUAUUUUGCUGUACUCCGUUUUUAAUCAAGCAGGAGGGAACAGAUUUUUUUUCCUAAGAAAAAAAACCAGAAUGAUGGAUAUUUUAUAUCGUGAAACAUCAUGCAAUGUUAUUAGAAAUAAAUACCCAAUGAAAUAUAUUUUUAAAUAAAAGCAACAUUUUUCUAUAUCAAUAUUUCACUUAAUUUAUGCCAUUUCUAGUGCUCAAUUUUUAUGGCUCAUAUUUUAAAACAUUAUUGAAUGAAGAGAUAGUGAAACCCAGAUGCUACACAGUAUUUGAACUUUGUCUUCCCCCAUCCUACAGUUUAUGUUACACAGUCUGGUGGGAGAUUCAAUGUCACCUAAUUGAUUAAUAAGCAAAUUGAGCAUCUAAUAUAAGAGGAAUUAAAUGGCACACAAAAAGGAGCUUGAGACAUUGACUUAGCAUUUUCGUGUAUUCAACUUCUAACCAAUAUUUCUUGAGCUCCACUAUAUGCCAACAGCUGUUCUAACUCAGAAGUGAUGAACAAGACAGAAAAAGUCCCUGCCCUCCUGAAGCUUACAUUUUAGGGAGGAAAAUGUCAUAAUGAGUUAAAAAAAGAUACUUUAAUUGGACCAUUUCCAGUUCCAAUUGUUAGACCUAUUUAUAAUAUUAUUUUUAGGAAGGUAGUAAUAGAGGAGGAGAGCAUGACAGAGAAUCACCAGAAUACAUAAAUGCAUGUCAGACACAUGGUCAGUAAAAAGCUCCCUGAGUUGAAAACUGAGAGAUGAGAUGGCACCUCACAUUAAAUAAAAUGUGGAAGUGAGUAAAAGCAGCCAGGUAUGUAGAAGUAACUGCAGGUGCAAAGACUGAGGUGGGAAUGAGCAUGGUAUGUUCAAGGGGAAAAAAGAAGGCUUUUGUGGUUGUAGAUUCAUGAGAGGACAGGAAUAGUAUGAAAGAAAAUGAGAGAAGCAGGCAAUAGCCAGAUCUCUGGGAGCUCUGAACCCUGUGGGAGAUUGGGUUUUAUUGUUGGUGUAAUGGGAGGCCGCAGAAAGGUUUAAAGGAGGGUGAUAAAAUAAUCUGAUGUACAUUUUCAAAAGAUGCUUGUGACUAUAGGGAAUAGGAUAAGUGGGUUAAGGGUGAAAGCAAGGAGUCUGAUUAUGUUGAAAUAAUGUGGCUUUCAUAAUAUCCACGGAGAUACAGAGAAGUGGAUAGUUCUGAGGUUCUAGUUGGUGAAUGCUUAGAUUCAGAGAGACAUAGAGAAAAGUAGAAAUUAAGAAUGAUCCUAGAUAUUUGGCUUGAACUACUGAACUGUGGAAUGUAGACAAUUUACUGAGAUAGAAUAAAGCCUAAUGAAGAAAGUAUUGAAGAGGUCCAAUUUUAAUAUUUUAUAUUUAGUAUGUCUAGUAAGCAUAGCAUUAGUGAAGACAUCAAUUGUGCCACUGGAUAUAUGAGUGGAGAAUUCACUAAAGAGGUCAAGGAUAAAGGUGCAAGUUUUAGAGACUUCAAAAUAAAAUGGUAUUUGAAGUCACCAGGCUAGAUGACUUCACAAAAGGAAGAAAAUAAUAUAGAGAAAAAGAAAGGCCCUAGGACUGACCUGGGGGCACAAGAGAGUGUGAUGUCGUGCCAAGAGAAGGAAGUGUUCCAAAAAGUAAGGAACAAUCAACCGUGAUGAAUGCUUCUGAAAGUCUGUGUCAAAGAGUAGAAACGUGUCCACUGGAUUUGAAGAGACAAAAACCAUUCGUAACCUUUAAAACAGGGGUUUCAGGGAAGUGACAGGACAAAAGUCAGGCUAGAAUGAAUUGAGUGAAUAGAAUAUGAAGAAGUAGAGGCAAUACAUGAAUCUCUCUAAAGGUUUUCUUGGGCUAGCUAAAAGACAAAUGAAGGCAGCCUGUACAAGAUCACGGGAGGACUAAUGAUGUUUUCUUAAUGGACUAUAUUUGAGUAUGUUUUUACACUAGUGAAAAUGAUUUGGGAAAGAGAAAGAAGCUCUUGAGAAGGGAAGAGGGGAUGAUGAAUCGAGAGUACAAGUGGAGAAAGUGGGCUUUAAGAGAGGCAGAGGCAUUGUUUGUAUCUAACAGGAUAGAAGACGAGUAGAGAGAGAAACAAAUAAGUAUGGAUGCAUUUAGGUUUCUAAAUUCGAUGUGGAAAAAGUAAAAUCAUUCUUCUUGGUGUCUACAUUUUCUUUAUGAACUAGGGUGUAAGGUCUCUUACUGAGAGUAAAGAGAACUAGUUAUGGGUUUGUGACUAUGAGGAAGAGAUAAAAUGUGAAAUAGUCUCUAAAAAUGGGCCAAGCAUGGUGGCUCAUAUGCCUGUAAUCCCAGCUACUCAGGAGGCUGAGGCAGGAGAAUGGCUUGAGCCCAGGAGUUUUGAGGCUUCAGUGAGCCAUGAUUGUACCUCUGCACUACAGCCUGGGCGACAGAAUGAGAUUUUGUCUUUGAAAAAAAAAAAAAACGAAGAAAGAAAAGAAAGGGAAAGCAAAUUUACUAGAACAUGGUAUGAUUAUGAGGUCAAAAAGGCAGAUAUUUAAUCAGUGUUGAUAAUAUUUAUGAAAAAUAUGAUUAGUAAAAAUCAAAGGACAAGUUGAUUUACAAAGUUGGAACACAGAUUACAGUCCCCUUUAUAUUACUGAAAACAUGAAAUUGGGUUUUAUAGAUUGUCUUAGAGUUGAGACCCAUCUUAUCAAGAUGCUUUUUAGUGCUUAAGUCAUUAAAAUUUGAUAUGCUCCUGAAAAGCCAUUCUUUUAGUGAAUUCUGCUUCGUAGAAAAUACUUUUAAAUUGGAGUAUUUAAUAGUUUUGACUUUCAUUUUGACUAAUUAAUACAACUUAAGAAAAUGUAUACACUUUUUGUAAACAUCUAAUUUCUAUGAGAC